UCCUACGGGAGGCAGCAGUGGGGAAUAUUGCACAAUGGGCGAAAGCCUGAUGCAGCGACGCCGCGUGAGGGAUGACGGCCUUCGGGUUGUAAACCUCUUUCAGCAGGGAAGAAGCGAAAGAUGACGGUACCUGCAGAAGAAGCGCCGGCUAACUACGUGCCAGCAGCCGCGGUAAUACGUAGGGCGCGAGCGUUGUCCGGAAUUAUUGGGCGUAAAGAGCUCGUAGGCGGCUUGUCACGUCGGUUGUGAAAGCCCGGGGCUUAACCCCCGGGUCUGCAGUCGAUACAGGCAGGCUAGAGUUCGGUAGUGGAGAUCGGAAUUCCUGGUGUAGCUGGUGGAAUGCGCAGA
rnacentral:rRNA from 1 species